UCUAUGAAAACAGGGAAUAGAAAUAAUACUCAUAAUGACAGCCAUUUCCUGUUAAGAUCAAGGAUCUGUUUCUCUUUUUCUUUUUUUUUUGGUUUGAUGGUUGGAAACAUACCUAAAAGCAUAAACAAAAUAAUCACCCACCAUGCUCCCACUCCACAGAAUUAACCAUUGUUCAUCUUUUCCCAUAUUUGUUGUUUAUGUUCUUUUCUAAAUUACACAAAUAUAUAAGGACAUGAAGUUUUUUUUUGUUUUGUUUUGUUUUUUGACGGAGUCUCGCUGUUGCCCAGGCUGGAGUGCAAUGGUGCAGUCUUGGCUCACUGCAACCUCCACUUCCCAGGUUCAAGCAAUUCUCCUGCCUCAGCCUCUCUAGUAGCUGGGAUUACAGGCGCCUGCCGCCAUGCCCGGCUAAUUCUUGUAUUUUUAGUACAGAUGGGGUUUCACCAUCCUGGCCAAGCUGGUCUUGAAUUCAUGACCUUGUGAUCCACCUGCCUCGGCCUCCCAAAGUGCUGGGAUUACAGGCGUGAGCCACCGCGCCUGGCCCAAGGACAUGAAGAUUUUUAAAUAAGAACAGGGAACUCUAGCUCUACGGCCCCUUCCAGCUCCGGGUGGAUCCUGCUCCCCCUAUUCCCAGAGGUCCCACUGCAAGUCCUGUGCAGCCUUCUAGUCCACUUGUUUUAUGUAUAUUUACAUGUAGCCAGAUAACAUGUAACAUGUUUUGGUUAUAUUUAACAUAAAUGGUAUCAACUUCUUUUUUUCACUCUUGGAAAUGUAUCCAUAUUUACAAACAGGGUAGUAAUUCGCCUUGCUUAUUAACUGUAUGUUUUCAAAUCCCUCACCUCACUGUCAAGCUUCAUUGCUUUAUAGUAAUUAUCACAUGAUAUAGGCUAUUUAUCCAAUUCUCUGACAGCAAAAAAACUGGAACCCAUCCAAUUUUCCAAAUGAAUUGUCUCUCAUUAGGGUUGUUUCUAAACCGGGAAAAAACUGAUUCAAAGUGCAAAGUGAAUGCAAAAAUUCUAUAUUUUCUAUGAAAGGAAACUUUUACUAAGAGCUUAAUAGUAUACAUAUUUUUAGUUUUUUUGUUUGUUUGUUUUUUGUGGAGGGGUGGGGUGGCAGGUGGAGGAUAUUGAGACAGGGUCUCACUCUGUGGCCCAGGCUGGAGUGCAGUACCUCAAUCACAGCCCACUGUAGCCUCAAACUCCUGGGCUCAAGCAAUCCUCCUAUAUCAGUCUCCCAAAUAGCUGGGACUACAGGCGCGCACCACCACAACUGGCUAUUUUUGUUUUUUUUUUUUUUUUAUUUUUAAAAGAUGGGGUCUCCUUAUGUUACCCAGGCUGGUCUCAAAUUCCUGGACUCAAGUGAUCCUCCCAUCUCACCCUCCCUAAGUGCUGGGAUCACAGGCAUGAGCCACCUUCACCCUUCACACAGCCUAGUUUUCCUUUUUUUUUUUUUUUUUUUUUUUUUUUGAGACAGGGUCUUUAACCUCUGCCUCCUGGGUUCAAGCAAUUCUCCUGCCUCAGCCUCCCGAGUAGCUGGAAUUACAGGCAUGCACCACCAUGCCUGAUUAAUUUUUGUAUUUUUAGUAGAGACGGGGUUUCGCCAUGUUGGCCAGGCUGGUCUCAAACUCCUGGCCUCAAGUGAGCCACCUACCUUGGCCUCCCAAAGUGCUGGGAUUACAGGCAUUAAGCCACUGCACCCGGCCUAGUUUUCCUUUUUUUUCUUUAGUUGAGAUGGAGUUUCACACAUGUUGUCCAGGCUAGAGUGCAACAGUGCAAUUUCGGCUCACUGCAACCUGUGCCUCCCGGGUUCAAGCAAUUCUCCUGCCUCAGCAUCCCAAGUAAGUAGCUGGGAUUAUAGGUGCCCGCUACAACGCCCGACUAAUUUUUUGUAUUUUUAGUAGAGACAGGGUUUCACCAUGUUGGCCUGGCUGGUCUUAAACUCCUGACCUCAGGUGAUCCAACCUGCCUUGGCCUCCCAAGGUGCUGGGAUUACAGGCGUGAGCCUCCAUACUGGGCCUUAGUUUUCUUUUUAAUAGCAAGUUUAUUUCAGUGUUAACCAAUCAAAUUCAGUUGCAUAUUCUAAGAUAUUCGUAAAAAUAUUUCAUAGAAUCCCUUUUGCCUGAAAAGGCAGUAAGGGCAGUUAAUAAUGCUCCUAUAUUAAUGGAUUUUUUUUUUUUUUUUGAGACUGUGUCUCAUUCCAUCGCCCAGACUGGAGUAAAGUAGCGUGAUCCUGGCCCACCACAACCUCCGCCUCCCAGGCUCAAGCGAUUCUCCUGCCUCAGCCUCCCAAUAGCUGGGGUUAUAGGCGCCCGCCACCAUGCCCAGCUAAUUUUUUGUAUUUUUGUAGAGACCAGGUUUCACCAUGUUGGCCAGGCUUGUCUCAACCUCCUGACCGCAAGUGAUCCACCCACCUCAGCUGCCCAAAGUACUCAGAUUACAGGCGUGAGCCACCAUGCCCGGCCAAGAAGAGGUCUUUAACACUUACUCUCAAUUCAUGUACUUAUCUCAUGAUAGGCUAGAAGCAAACAAACCUCCCUCUUCUGUGGCUGCAGUAUUUCUCAUUGGACAGACAUUUAUUUUAUUUAUUUAUUUUUCAUGCUUUGUUAAUGUUAACAUACUACUGCUGCUUUUAACAUUUCAUGAAUUUCUGGAACAUUCUAUGGGAGUAACAUAAAAUGUUCUAUACUAUUUAACUACAAGCAAAAAUAGAGUAUGAAGCUUUUCAGAAUGACAACUGUCACAAUUAUGAACUAAAACUCAGAGAGGGUCACCCAUUAGUUUCCUUGGUUACAUCCAUUGUAAAAGAAGCAAGAUCAAAUGCACUGGAUCAGACACACAAGUCCUACAAUAAGUGUCCCUGAAAUAACCUAAAUAUAAUUGUAAAUAUAAAAGAAAAACAAAACUCCACAUUUAAAAUAUUCAAGAUAAAGAGAAUUCGGACUGAGACAACUUGUUAGUUCAAGCAGUUUCAUUUCUGCUGGUGGGACAUGGCCUCCUGCUAUACAUACAGGAUCUACUGAAGUCUUCAUUCUCUCUCUGAAUCCAGCAGUUAAUGAACAUUCUGAAGAACAAAAAAUUAUCUUGCAGUCCUGCCAUAGUGGUUUAUUUUCAUAAAAUCCUCUUCAGAUGAAUCAAGCUCAAUACUACUAAUCUUAUAUUUGUCUUACAUUAUUACUAGAACUGUUUUGUUUUUCACAAAUACAUAACAUACUAAUAAAGAAGAAGAAAAAAAUAAAAAAGCACCUAUGGAGACUAAACAAGCAGCAGUAGGCCUUACUUUAAAUGUCUGUCCAGGCCAGGUGCAGUGGCUCACACCUGUAAUCCCAGCACUUUGGGAGGCCAAGGCAGCUGAAUAACCUGAGGUCAGGAGUUUGAGACCAGCUUGGCCAACAUGGUGAAACCCCGUGUCUACAAAAGUACAAAAAUUAGCUGGGCGUGUGUGCGCGCCUGUAUUCACAGAUACUCGGGAGGCUGAGGCAAGAGAAUCACUUGAACCCGGGAGGCGGAGUUUGAAGUGAGCCAAGAUCGUGCCACAGCACUCCAGCCUGGGCGACAGAGUAAGACUCCGUCUCAAAAAUAAAUAAAUGUCUGUCCAGUCAGAAGUACUCCACCCACAGAGGAGGGAGGUUUGUUUGUUUCCAGCCCAUAAUGAGAUAAGUACAGGAAUUGAGAGUAAGUGUUCAGAAACUUUGAUUUAUUUUUUCAGAUGGAGUCUCUCUCUCUUGCCAGGCUGGAGUGCAGUGGCGCAAUCUAUCUCCACCUCCCAGGUUCAAGCGAUUCUCCUGCCUCAGCCUCCCAAGUAGCUGGGAUUACAGGCGCGUGCCACCACGCCUGGCUAAUUUUUGUAUUUUUAGUAGAGACGGGCUUUCACCAUGUUGGCCAGGAUGGUCUUGAUCUCUUGACCUCAUGAUCCGCACACCUCAGCCUCCCGAAGGGCUGGGAUUACAGGCAUGAGCCACCGCGCCCAGCCAAAUGUUUAGAAACUUUUAUGCCAAUUUGACACAGAAAGCUUUUGUCUGCUGAAGAUAAUUUAAAAAAAAAAAGGGCUUUAAAUGAAAUUAUUUCUACCAAAAUAUACAUUUUAGACACUCCUGGUCUCUUUUCUUUGGCACAUCAAUAAGAUAACUGAACAAAGACAUCUCUAUCUGAAUAGAAAAUGAUUCAUUGUAAGCAUCAAAGAAUCAGAACUGGAAGAAAUGUAGCCGACCAUCUAACUUGCCCGCAGUCAGGGAGACUUCUCUGCCUGAACUUCCUGGACCUUCUCCCUCUUAGAUUUCUCAAGAUGGAAACUCCAAAGUCAUUCCUGUAGCCAUUCCUGCGUUUAAUUGCCCAAGAGGUAAAAUAAAUUUCCCGUAUAUCCAAAGGGAAUCUAUCUUAUUUAAACUGAAUUGGGGUUGACCUUUAAUCCUCCAGAUGUAUCUUAUUACUGUACCUCAGCCAGGCACAGCGGCUCACACCUGUAAUCCCAGAAUUUUGGGAGGCCAAGGCAGGAAGAUCAACAUGAACCCAGGACCAGCCGGGGGAAACAUAGCAAAACCCUGUCUCUACAGAAACUACAAAAAUUGGCCAAGCACGGUGGCUCACGCCUGUAAUCCCGACACUUUGGGAGGCCAAGGCAGGUGGAUCACGAGACACGGGGGCACAUGCUGGUGCCCAAGCUGCAUCUGUGGCUGUUGAUGCUGGGCCCAUCCCUUUGAACAGUGAGCACAGAUAACAAGAGUACCUGCUGACUUGGCCCAAGAAGCUUGAUUUUCUUCAGGUGUCCCAAAGAUAUUAGAGGCCAUUUUGUUCUUCCUCACAGGUUGUUCUGUUGGUUCAUCAAAACCUAAUGAAAAAUUGGAUCCACCACCUGGAGGCCGCAAAACUCUGCAAAUAAUGGCAAAACAUCAACUUCAGAUCAUACUGAAACAUUUCUUGGCAUAAAUCUUUUCAGACAACUUUCAUUUCACUUUCCUCACCCAUUCAUCUCCCUCACCCCUACAACAGAUAGCUGCUAACAGGAAAAAAGAAUCAACUCCAUCAGUGUCUACAUUCAGUGCUGGAUGUUAAGAUACUAAAUACUGCUUUAUAAUACUUGUAAUAAGGUCAUCGAUCACACAAGGCAGCUGAAACAGCAUGGAACUCAUCAUAAAUAACAGCCUGGUUGGUGUCCCCUUUUCAGAAAUGGCAAAAGAUCUAAUGGACCUUACUCUACUGGGCUUGGCUGAAUAUACUUUCAAAGAAGUUUA